CGACCUCAAUACAUCGCACGUCAAAGAAAAAGACGAUGAUCGACGAUUGUUGCCGUCUCCACCGUGAUCCUUCAAGGAGAACUGGAGAAGGGCGUGGAGAGCAACGACUACAACAUCCACGUCCUCGCGCCCUUGUGCUCGCUUGACGUGAUGCCGGCGUCGCCGGUGUCUCCGUGGUCCACGCGAUGCGGAGGCAUGCAGGCAGGGAGGCCAGACUGUCGGAUCGGCGACUGCCAGCUCCACGCAGACGUAUACGAGUGCACAUACACGCCUGUUGCGAGUAUGCAGCAUUUGUGGACUUGAUGAAUUCUCUAUGGCGGUUCUUCGCUGAAACCCAGAGGCGGCUGUUGAGGAGAUUGGUCUGGACAAAAGGUUCACAUGGAAAAACCAUUUUACUUUGGGGAACAGGUCUGUAUUUAGCAAUAGCAUGAACCCUGCACUCCAUGUUGCAUGCUUGUGUAUCGGCCGGUUUUGUUAGAAGUUUCAGUCGCACGGUAAAUAUUGAUAUUUCAGCUAUUAAUGAUAUGAUUUUAUUUGUUUGUAUAAAUUUAAUUUUUAAUAUCCAUAGGUCCAUAACAACAACAAAAUCUUCUCUCAAAAAAAAUAACAACAACAAAAUCACAGGUUGAAGUAUUCUGAUGACGACUUGAACUUGCUACUAAAGCUAAGCAAAUGCUGAAGUCAGGAACUAGGCUGAUUGUAUACUAAUGGUAAUUCAUCUCAGAAAGGUUUACCACAGUUUUUUUCUUAGAUACCAUUGAAUAAAAUUCUUUUAGAGACAGAUGCACCUGAUGCAUUACUAAGAUUGAACAAUGUUUCUCUAUCACCAGUCCCUGUUCAUAGUUUAGAUGCAGAGACUGAAAAGCAUCAUAUAGAUUCAGAGUCACAGGUUGCUAAUGCAUCAAAUGAGUCCUUGAACCCUCUAGAAAAUAUCCAUAUCGUAAGUUUUUUUUUCUUGGAUGGUCUUGUCUAAAAUUUCUUUCUAGAUGCUUUUUCUUGACUUAUUUCGUUUAAGUGUUCAUGUACUUUUUAAACAAGAAAGUAGUCUUCGAGGCUGUGUAAUUUGAAAAGCAUAAUUGUAUAUUAAUAAUAAUGAAGUCCUUGACAGUCUUGAAGCACAAAGAGAUGUGCUUAAGACCCAUAACAGGUACAAUCUUCAAUAUGUAUAUUUUAUCUUUAUAUCAUACACCUGUCUGAAAAUGUCUGAGUGAAGUUCUUAUAUGUUUUGUUGAAUCUGGUUGUUUUUAGUUCUGUUGAAUCUAAAGAAGUUCCUGAGAAUUCUAACAUGGAAGAGGCUAUAACUGAGGCUAGGCGUGGACAUUGGCCUAUGCAACGGGCAAAGAAGGCGGGUGCGGCGUGGCGGCUGCUGGCGACGCUAGCUGAUGUGCUACGGAGGUGACAGAGAUGGAGACACGCCUGCGGUGGAGAUGACCCACAAUGGCGAUGAACUAAGAAAAUGUGAAUGCUUACAGCCCCCAUGGCGAGCUGCGUAUGAUGGCGAGCGACAUUGGCCAUCUGACGCAAGACAGUCCUUAUCAAUGUUAAGUUUGAAAUUUAGGAAAAAAAAAUAGAAUCUGAGAUAAAAUUCAUCUCAAAGAUAUAGCCGUAGCGUUAGCACGGGCAAUAUACUAGUGAGAAUAAUGGGCUCCUCAAAUUUUAUGGCUCUAUUCUCUCAAGUCAUUUUCUAGAUUACGUGUAUAAAAACUUGAAUCAUUAAUUUAAUUAUCAUAUGUGCAUUGAGGUUUAGCUUCUAU